CAUUUGCCGACUCUCGACUUUUUACUCUCGAUCGACUCUCGACUUUUUACUCUCGAUCGACUCCCGACUUUUUACUCUCGACUCUCGACUUUUUACUCUCGACUUUUUACUCUCGACUGUCAACUUUUACUCUCGACUCUCGACUUUUACUCUCGACUCUCGACCUAUACUCUCGACCCUCGACUUUUAGAUGCACUCAAUAAAAUGUGAUUCCAAUAGGAAUUCCAUUUAAAUGUCAAUACAGCACUCUUUACAUUUUUAAUGUUACGGACCCUGCGCCAAUUGUUCAUACUAUUGCAAUUUUUUCAUUUUUGAAGAGAAAUUCUUUCUAAGGGAGAAAAUCAUUGCGCAGUUGGAAGAAAAUUUUAAACUUCUUUGACUACCAUUUUAUCUCCUCAUUUAGGGUACUUCUUCCCUCGAACCCCUGAAUCCCCCCCCCCCCCCCCCCCGGUCUAACGGAGGAGGUAGCAAAUGAUAUUGAUAAUUAAACACGGUCAAAAUAAAGUGAUAAUUAAAAUUGGUCAAAAUAAAAAAGGAAAUUUAUGUUACAUGAUUAGAG
rnacentral:lncRNA from 1 species